CAACAGGGAUUGCCUCAGUAACGGCGAGUGAAGCGGCAGCAGCUCAAAUUUGAAAUCUGGCCCCGUCGGGGUCCGAGUUGUAAUUUGUAGAGAGUGUUUCGGGUGAGACCACGGUCUAAGUCUAUUGGAACAUGGCGUCAUAGAGGGUGAGAAUCCCGUAUGUGACUGUGGCUCGAGCCCAUGUGAAGCCUCUUCGACGAGUCGAGUUGUUUGGGAAUGCAGCUCAAAAUGGGUGGUAAAUUUCAUCUAAAGCUAAAUACUGGCUGGAGACCGAUAGCGCACAAGUAGAGUGAUCGAAAGAUGAAAAGCACUUUGGAAAGAGAGUCAAAAAGUACGUGAAAUUGUUGAAAGGGAAGCGCUUGCAACCAGACCUGUCCGUAGGUGAUCAGCCGCUGUUCUCAGCGGUGCACUCGCUCUGCGAUCAGGCCAGCAUCGGUUUCGGCGGUCGGAUAAAGGCCUUGGGAAUGUAGCUUCCUUCGGGGAGUCUUAUAGCCCUCGGUGCAAUGCGGCCAGCCGGGACCGAGGACCGCGCUUCGGCUAGGAUGCUGGCGUAAUGGUUGUAAGCGACCCGUCUUGAAACACGGACCAAGGAGUCUACCAUCUAUGCGAGUGUUUGGGUGUUAAACCCAUGCGCGGAAUGAAAGUGAACGGAGGUGAGAACCCUUUAGGGCGCAUCAUCGACCGAUCCAGAUGUCUUCGGAUGGAUUUGAGUAUGAGCAUAGCUGGUGGGACCCGAAAGAUGGUGAACUAUGCCUGAAUAGGGUGAAGCCAGAGGAAACUCUGGUGGAGGCUCGCAGCGGUUCUGACGUGCAAAUCGAUCGUCAAAUUUGGGCAUAGGGG
rnacentral:rRNA from 1 species